rnacentral:rRNA from 1 species
GCACUUGUACUGUGAAACUGCGAAUGGCUCAUUAAAUCAGUUAUCGUUUAUUUGAUAGUACCUUACUACAUGGAUACCUGUGGUAAUUCUAGAGCUAAUACAUGCUAAAAACCCCGACUUCAGGAAGGGGUGUAUUUAUUAGAUAAAAAACCAACGCCCUUCGGGGCUCCUUGGUGAAUCAUAAUAACUUAACGAAUCGCAUGGCCUUGCGCCGGCGAUGGUUCAUUCAAAUUUCUGCCCUAUCAACUUUCGAUGGUAGGAUAGUGGCCUACCAUGGUGGCAACGGGUAACGGGGAAUUAGGGUUCGAUUCCGGAGAGGGAGCCUGAGAAACGGCUACCACAUCCAAGGAAGGCAGCAGGCGCGCAAAUUACCCAAUCCCGAUACGGGGAGGUAGUGACAAUAAAUACUGAUACGGGGCUCUUUUGGGUCUCGUAAUUGGAAUGAGAACAAUUUAAAUCCCUUAACGAGGAACAAUUGGAGGGCAAGUCUGGUGCCAGCAGCCGCGGUAAUUCCAGCUCCAAUAGCGUAUAUUAAAGUUGUUGCAGUUAAAAAGCUCGUAGUUGAACCUUGGGUCUGGCUGGCCGGUCCGCCUCACCGCGAGUACUGGUCCGGCUGGACCUUUCCUUCUGGGGAACCUCAUGGCCUUCACUGGCUGUGGGGGGAACCAGGACUUUUACUGUGAAAAAAUUAGAGUGUUCAAAGCAGGCCUUUGCUCGAAUACAUUAGCAUGGAAUAAUAGAAUAGGACGUGUGGUUCUAUUUUGUUGGUUUCUAGGACCGCCGUAAUGAUUAAUAGGGAUAGUCGGGGGCGUCAGUAUUCAGCUGUCAGAGGUGAAAUUCUUGGAUUUGCUGAAGACUAACUACUGCGAAAGCAUUCGCCAAGGAUGUUUUCAUUAAUCAGGGAACGAAAGUUAGGGGAUCGAAGACGAUCAGAUACCGUCGUAGUCUUAACCAUAAACUAUGCCGACUAGGGAUCGGACGGGAUUCUAUAAUGACCCGUUCGGCACCUUACGAGAAAUCAAAGUUUUUGGGUUCUGGGGGGAGUAUGGUCGCCAAGGCUGAAACUUAAAGAAAUUGACGGAAGGGCA